AACGUAGGAGACAAACGUUAUCCGGAGUUACUGGGCGUAAAGAGUAUGUAGGCGGUUUGCCAAGUCCGGCGUGAAAUCUCCCGGCUCAACUGGGAGGGUGCGCCGGAUACUGGUAGGCUAGAGUGCGGGAGAGGAGAGCGGAAUUCCUGGUGUAGCGGUGAAAUGCGUAGAUAUCAGGAGGAACACCUGCGGUGUAGACGGCUCUCUGGACCACCACUGACGCUGAGGAGCGAAAGCCAGGGGAGCAAACGGG
rnacentral:rRNA from 1 species